UGAACUUUUUUUUAUCAGGAAUUCCCUAAAUUUAAGGGGUUCAACAAUUUUUCCACGCUUUUUUCUCUGGUGAAGCUCUGGGCUGACAUGUCGCCUACAUGGUAAUAUCGAGCUAAUAUGGCGCUUAUUUGGAGUGAAAAUUUGACACUUGGAAAAAAAAUGAACAAAAAAAAAAAAACCAUUCUCUUCCCCCCUCCUCCAUGUCCGGCGAACUACACCGCCCCAUCUCUCUCCACCGUCCACCGCCUUUCCCCACCUCCAUCACCAGAUUCGUCGCCCCCUCUCUCCACCUCCCACCGCCUUCCC
rnacentral:lncRNA from 1 species